GGAAGCUGAUUGGCGGGAUC
rnacentral:snRNA from 1 species